UCUUAUGGAUGUGCAAAGAAAGUGGUUUCUUGAAAUGGAAUCUACUGAUGAUGAUGCUGUGAA
rnacentral:pre_miRNA from 1 species